GAUCAUGGCUCAGGAUGAACGCUAGCUACAGGCUUAACACAUGCAAGUCGAGGGGCAGCAUGAACUUAGCUUGCUAAGUUUGAUGGCGACCGGCGCACGGGUGAGUAACGCGUAUCCAACCUGCCUACCACUUGGGGAUAACCUUGCGAAAGUAAGACUAAUACCCAAUGACAUCCCACGAAGACAUCUGAAUGGGAUUAAAGAUUUAUCGGUGAUGGAUGGGGAUGCGU
rnacentral:rRNA from 1 species